UGUUUUUGAUUUUGUGUGUCUAUGCCUCUAC
rnacentral:piRNA from 1 species